rnacentral:misc_RNA from 1 species
GAUGAAGAACGUAGCGAAAUGCGAUAAGUAAUGUGAAUUGCAGAAUUCAGUGAAUCAUCGAAUCUUUGAACGCACCUUGCACCCUUUGGUAUUCCGAAGGGUAUGCUCGUUUGAGUGUCAUUGUACUCUCACACUUCUAAUUCCUUUCGGGAUUGGGAGCGGUGGACUUGGGUGUUGCUGCUUUAGUUGUGGCUCACCUCAAAUAAGUUAGUGCAACUCUUGGUUGGACAUAGUACGGCGUGAUAAGUGUCUUCGCCGGCGCCUCUGUAAGGAGGGUGGCCGAUCGGGAGCUCUGUGCUUCAAACCGUCUUCGGACAAUCUUUGACAACUUGACCUCAAAGCGAGUAGGACUACCCGCUGAACUUAAGCAUAUCAAUAAGCGGAGGA